rnacentral:rRNA from 1 species
UAGGGAAUCUUCCGCAAUGGGCGAAAGCCUGACGGAGCAACGCCGCGUGAGUGAAGAAGGUUUUCGGAUCGUAAAGCUCUGUUGUUAAGGAAGAACGAGUGUGAGAAUGGAAAGUUCAUGCUGUGACGGUACUUAACCAGAAAGGGACGGCUAACUACGUGCCAGCAGCCGCGGUAAUACGUAGGUCCCGAGCGUUGUCCGGAUUUAUUGGGCGUAAAGCGAGCGCAGGCGGUUAGAUAAGUCUGAAGUUAAAGGCAGUGGCUCAACCAUUGUAGGCUUUGGAAACUGUUUAACUUGAGUGCAGAAGGGGAGAGUGGAAUUCCAUGUGUAGCGGUGAAAUGCGUAGAUAUAUGGAGGAACACCGGUGGCGAAAGCGGCUCUCUGGUCUGUAACUGACGCUGAGGCUCGAAAGCGUGGGGAGCGAACAGG